CGUAAAUAGAGAGCAUUGUAGAAAAUGAAUAAGCAUGCAUGGGUCUAGGACAUUGUUGGGCACUGGCGCUAGUGUGCGUACUAUUUCCAAGCCCAUGGGCUUAUGUUCUUGUUCGCGUACACAAAUAUGUUAUAGUGUUUGUGCAAUUGCAAUUGAAAAAUGUCCUGCUGGGAAGGUUUUCGUCAAAACCACUUGGCACUUAAUGUGUUAAUAUUGACUGGCAGAAGCAAACUCCAGAACCAUAUACCAUCAUUUGGAUUAAUACUUCGAGCUAUUAUACGCGGAAUGCUGAGACACGACAAUUGUAUAAGGCUUAAAGAAGCACCUGUACACAAUGUUCUUUUAUAAAACUAAACCACGGCUGAGAGAAAUGACAUCUAGACUAUGCCCACACAACAAUAUAUAAAUACUCAAAGACUUUGCAUAGUAUACAUAUCCAUGUACCAUUAAUAUCUUCUCCUUCUGU